rnacentral:rRNA from 1 species
GAUGAACGCUAGCUACAGGCUUAACACAUGCAAGUCGCGGGGCAGCAUGGGGGUUGCUUGCAAUCCCCGAUGGCGACCGGCGCACGGGUGAGUAACGCGUAUCCAACCUGCCCUUCACCACGGGAUAACCCGGCGAAAGUCGGACUAAUACCGUAUGUUGUCCAUUGACGGCCUCCGAUUUGGACGAACGGUUUGGCGGGGAAGGAUGGGGAUGCGUCCGAUUAGCUGGACGGCGGGGUGACGGCCCACCGUGGCGACGAUCGGUAGGGGUUCUGAGAGGAAGGUCCCCCACACUGGAACUGAGACACGGUCCAGACUCCUACGGGAGGCAGCAGUGAGGAAUAUUGGUCAAUGGGCGUAAGCCUGAACCAGCCAAGUAGCGUGCAGGAUGACGGCCCUAUGGGUUGUAAACUGCUUUUAUGCGGGGAUAAAGUGGCCCACGUGUGGGUUUUUGCAGGUACCGCAUGAAUAAGGACCGGCUAAUUCCGUG